rnacentral:lncRNA from 1 species
UCUGCAAGUGUCUCAAGGCCAAAGACAGGCUGGUGGGAAAGCUCCAACCAGCAAGGCCAUAUGCUCCCCCUCCCCUACCUAAAACCCCAAAUAAAAACCCUUCCUUUUAGGUUUUUGGGGAGUUUGGGAUUUGAGCAUUAGCUACCCUCUCUCCUUGCUCAGCGCUGUGCAAAAAUAAAAUUCCUACUUUCUUCCACCACACCCAGAGUCAUAGAUUGGCUUGCUGUGCAACGAGUGAGCGAACUCACUUCAGUUUUGGUAACAAUUUGGUGACCCAGAUGGGACAAUGUCCCAGGUGGACGUCUCGCCUGGGGCACACCGGCCUCUGGCUAAAGGCCUCUCUUGGAAGCUGUCCUGCAGCUGCCUGAGCCCCUUGUCUCAGGGACAGCCCCAAGCGACUGGCUGCUAACCAGACGAUGUUGGCCCACGAUGCUUUUGCUUUGGUGGUGGAAGAAACUAGGUUUAGGACUCAGGAAGACGUCUCUUCCCCCCGGUACAUAGUUGUAUAUUCUUCGUUGUGGGUCCUUCUAGUUGUGGCAUGUGGGACGCUGCCUCAGCGUGGUCUGAUGAGCAGUGCCAUGUCCAUGCCCAGGAUUCGAACCAACGAAACACUGGGCCUCCUGCAGCGGAGCGCACGAACUUAACCACUCGGCCACGGGGCCAGCCCCUCAUGGAGUUUUUGUAGACGAUAUAAAUAUAAUUGUUAAGAACAGGACACAAUUGGAAACACUGGUUAUAUUACCAAGGCUUUGACUGGAACAUCAUAUUUGAAAAAACAUAUGGGCUUAAAUAUAACAAGACAGCUUUUGAAGAAUGAAGGUUGACAUUCUGGAAUAAAGCCACUUGGAAAUAUUGGCCUGGUACUGUGCUUAUGGGUUCUGUAACCUGGUAAGGUUGAGUAAAGAAUGUCGCUCCUUUUGGCAGGUACAAGGAACCUCAAUAUUUCGGGGAACCUCAUGAAGAGAGGGAUUCACCCAAAUCUGCAGGUACUGCAGGCAGAAUGUGAUAACAGGUCCUUUGCUUGGCUUUCCUUGAGAGGCCUUUAAAGAUCAACCUGAGAUUUCUUAUAAGGUUCCAGCAAAGCAGAUUAAAAAGAGCCUAUAUGAUCAACUACUAUUCUUGCUGUACUUAUGUAAAUAAUUAUUCCAAAUUUAUUAAAACUAGACAUUGUGCAAACCAGUUAGUCUUAAUUUUGCUAUGUCUAGUGAAAUUGAGGGUGAUUUUAGGGAGGAAGAUUAUGUUUCAAUAGAAACUAUAAUUCAUGUUUAUAGAUAUUAGAUUUUAGUUUUUUCAAUUGUCCUUUUGAAAUUUUUGUUUUACUUCUGUUAACUAGACUGGAUCUUAAAUUCUUCAUCUCCUGAACUACCUGGCCAAAAACCUCCAAGCUAACAUUUUCAGGGUCUUUUUUUCCCCAUUAUUUUCAUUUAGAGUCAUUGAAAACUAAAUCUGCCCUUUUUCCUAAAGCCUUACAAACUGAAGCUGGAAGACCCAAUAUAAACUUAAGAGAGAUUCACGUCUACUGCUGUGUAAGCCACUCAAAAAGCCACCUGAUUGCUGCAUGACACCAUCAGAGACAUUUCAAACUGCAAAAGAUGCUUUGACUCUGACUUCUAGGAAUCUUGAUUGGCUGCCCCCUGGGCUCAGAAACUUGUUUAUAAUUUGCUCCAAUCAUUAACCUUGUUUUUCUCUUUAAGUUUCUCUAGAAAAUCUUCUUAUUAAAUACCUUGUUACUUACUUACAUGAUACAGGCCUACCUUCAGGAGCCCACCAGCAUCACUGCCUUAUUAAAAGACUGGUUCAAUGAGAUAAAACAACCUACGCCCCAUUUCAGCAGGAAGUAGCUAGAUGGGUCGCCACCCCAAAUCCCUAAAGAUUGACGGAUGGACAUAAAAUAGGGGGGAGUUGAUACCGACCCUGAUAUCAGUUUCCCCACAUUAAACCCAGCAUAUAUGGGGUUAAAACCAAAACACUCAUUCCCUGCUUACUCUCUGGCUUCCUGGCUCCAGAAUCCACUAUCCUCCAUGGAGAGAGACACCAUCAAGGACAAGCACCUGGACUAUCUCCUCCCGCAAAGAGAUACGGGCUGGUGGGAAAGCUGCUGACCAGCAGGGUCAUGAGCUGCCUCCUCUCUGCAAGUGUCUCAAGGCCAAAGACAGGCUGGUGGGAAAGCUCCGACCAGCAAGGCCAUAUGCUCCCCCUCCCCUACCUAAAACCCCAAAUAAGAACCCUUCCUUUCAGCUUUUCGGGGAGUUUGAGAUUUGAGCAUUAGCUGCCCUCUCUCCUUGCUCAGUGCUGUGCAAAAAUAAAAUUCCUACUUUCUUCCACCACACCCGGUGUCAGAGAUUGGCUUGCUGUGCAGCGGUGAGUGAACUCACUUCAGGUUCGGUAACGAAGAUACAGAUGUGUCCUUUCUCUUAAGAGUUUGCCAUUAAAUACGAGAUAAUAAU